AAAAGGGCACGGGGCAGAGGGACUAUGUUGUGAGCCUGCGAAAGAAGUUUGUGUGGGGACUGUGGGCAGUGAACGCGUUGGGAACAAUAUGGAAAACUGGGAGCCGCCUUGGAAUCUACAGGGCCGGGCUGAAGAAAAGAAGAAUGGUAUUCACGCAGUUCCCAUUUUACAGAUGAAAACAAGAGGACUUUUUCUGUGAAGUCAAGAAAGUGGUUACAAUGGUACUUUCAGCCUGUCCGAAUUAUGUAUUGCCCCUCCCCUUUUUAUUAAUAACAUUGAAGUGUGAUGGGACAACCACUGAAGCCGUCAGUUGAAACCUGCUGGGACUUUUUAGCCAUUCUCUUCAACAUAAAGAAUGGGUGUUUUUGGAGGGGGUGAGAGGAAUGGGGAAAUGUUGUCAAAGAGUACAACGUUUUAGUUGAGACAGGAAGAAUAUAUUUUGUUGAGAUCUACAGCACAGCAUGGUGACUGUAGUUAACAAUGAAGUAUUGUCUAUUUCCAAAUUGCUAAGACAAUAAAUUUCAAAUGUUCUCACCACAA
rnacentral:lncRNA from 1 species